GGGCGAUUAGCUCAGUUGGUUAGAGCGCUUGCUUCACAUGUAAGAGGUCGGAGGUUCGAGUCCCCCAUCGCCCACCA
rnacentral:tRNA from 1 species